rnacentral:lncRNA from 1 species
CAGGAUGCCCAGGAGAAGCUAGAAUUGGACAGGAUGUACGUGGAAGACAUGAAGCAAUACCUGGUUGGUGCAGCUCUCUAUCUAAAGACCUGUACUUAGUCAUUACUUUGAAGGAACCAAGAGAACAAGUAGCAAAUCUGAACUGAAUGAAAAGACUUCUUGCUGCUUUAUUUAAAGUCGUGCAAUGGAAUAUUUGCAGGAGAGCUUUUGCUACCUCUGGAUAAUCCUGUUCCAGAAGAACUGUUAUCUGAGAUCCCAGGAAGGUUCCUGAAAGGUCUAUUAAUGAAGACAACAGAAACAAAACAAAAAGGGUGCAGACACAAACACGAUCAGAGAGAAUGUUGCCAUUCUGUCUGAACAUGGCCAAUUCCCUUAACGGCACAGAAGAUUCAAAUCGUAGGGUGGGCACAUAUUGUGUGACAUUUCAACAUCAAAUUAACCAUCCUACCAGUAGCAUCAUUUAAGGCAGUGUUAGCAAAAAUGCUGCCAGCCCACAAGGGGAUGUGCAUCUUCCCUCUUCAAACAAUGCAAGUAACUCUUCAUAAGGGUGAUCAGUCAACGCCACGUGAACUAAUUUGAUAGUUCCGUCAUCAGAUGCAUUGCAAAUUUCAUUACAUAUUUUAAAUCAUGUUAACAUGGUUUGUUAAUGUUGGUAUUCACUAAAAAGCCACAGCACUUUAAAUAAUGAAUGGG